GUUUGCCAAGAGGCAAGAGUAGAGACCAGUGUGCAAGAGGAACGGUAUUUCUUGAGUGUGGAUAUGCACGGUUCUGAGGAGAUCCUUAUUGACAAUGGUGGUCAUUGGAGGUAUAAAUACUGAGGAAUAUGUCAUUUACAGAGAAGAUGUUUGAAAUCUGUUUCCUUUAGACAGCAAAGGUCCGUUUUCCGUUCUCACGCAGCCUUCCGGCAUGUCACUUACCUUCCCGAAUUAGUUCCGUUCUGGCUCCAGCCUUACACCCGUGUCGCUGAGGGCAAUGCCUGUGCAGCCGGACGCAGGAAGUGGCCUGUCUUCGUGCCCGUGCCCCGGGCAGCUGGUGCGCGUCCCCUCCAGCCCCGGGCUCCUCUGCGGCGCUGCCAGGUGCCCUGGAGAGCUGAGCGUGCCGGCUCUGCCGCCGGGCGCUGCUGGCACGCAGCCCUAGGGCGAAGAUCAGCCCUCUCUGCCAAACCGUGCGUCCUUGCCGUGAUGCGUGCCUACGUUAAAAAUUUGCAUUUCAAGAAACGUGCAUGUCAAAAACCUUUAGGCUGUCCACUAGAAGAGAGCAUGGAAUGUAGGGAUGUUUUUAGUGUUCGUAUAGCAUCUUAACGUGAACGCUGGAUUUUCUUAUCCAUAAAUGGAGAUGCAGCUUAUUGGUUUGUACUAUUUGUUCCAGCGUGUGAAAGAAACCAGAACUAUACGUUACAAGUUCUCAUAGUUUUUGUUUCUUUUUAGUCAUGCAGAAGGAUGCAAAAAUAUAUCAGAGAGAUACAGCAUUAAUAAAAUAGGAAACUGGUUAUGCA
rnacentral:lncRNA from 1 species